rnacentral:rRNA from 1 species
CCUACGGGUGGCAGCAGUGAGGAAUAUUGGUCAAGGGACGAGAGUCUGAACCAGCCAAGUAGCGUGAAGGAUGACUGCCCUAUGGGUUGUAAACUUCUUUUAUAUGGGAAUAAAACAGGGUAUGCAUACACUCUUGUAUGUACCAUAUGAAUAAGGAUCGGCUAACGCCGUGCCAGCAGCCGCGGUAAUACGGAGGAGCCGAGCGUUAUCCGGAGUUCUUGGGUUUACAGGGAGCGUAGGUGGCUUGUUACGUCAGUUGUGAAAGUUUGCGGCUCAACCGUAAAAUUGCAGUUGAAACUUGCAGUCUUGCGUCCAGUAGCUGUGGGCGGACUUCGUUGUGUAGCCG